UACGGAGGGGGCUAGCGUUGUUCGGAAUUACUGGGCGUAAAGCGCGCGUAGGCGGACCUGCAAGUCGGGGGUGAAAGCCCGAGGCUCAACCUCGGAACUGCCUUCGAUACUGCGGGUCUCGAGUCCGGGAGAGGUGAGUGGAAUUCCUAGUGUAGAGGUGAAAUUCGUAGAUAUUAGGAAGAACACCCGUGGCUAAGGCGGCUCUCUAGUACGGUACUGACGCUGAGACGCGAAAGCGUGGGGAGCGAACAGG
rnacentral:rRNA from 1 species